UGUAGUUAAGUAUUGUAGUUUUUAAGGUGAGAGUUGUAGUUUAGGACGGAGACUCCAGACUAAAAGCAUAGAUGUAGUUAAGUAUUGUAGUUUUUAAGGUGAGAGUUGUAGUUUAGGACGGAGACUCCAGACUAAAAGCAUAGAUGUAGUUAAGUAUUGUAGUUUUUAAGGUGAGAGUUGUAGUUUAGGACGGAGACUCCAGACUAAAAGCAUAGAUGUAGUUAAGUAUUGUAGUUUUUAAGGUGAGAGUUGUAGUUUAGGACGGAGACUCCAGACUAAAAGCAUAGAUGUAGUUAAGUAUUGUAGUUUUUAAGGUGAGAGUUGUAGUUUAGGACGGA